AUCGAACGCUGGCGGCGGGCCUAACACAUGCAAGUCGAGCGGCGCGGCGGACGGGUGAGUAAUGCCGAGGAAUCGGCCUGGUAGUGGGGGCCAACGUCCGGAAACGCGCGAUAAUACCGCAUACUAUCAGUUGAGCCGAGGGCGGAUGAGCUAGUUGGUGGGGUAAAGGCUUACCAAGGCGACGACCCGUAAUUGGUCUGAGCGGCUGAGCAGUCACACUGGAACUGAGACACGGCCCAUACUCCUACGGGAGGCAGAGGUGGGUAAUAUUGGGCAAUGGGCGAAAGCCUGAUACAGCAAUGCCGCGUGUGUGAAGAAGGGCUUCGGAUUGUAAAGCUAUAUAAGUUGGGAGGCGUUACCAACAGAAUAAGCACCGGCUAACUUCGUGCCAGCAGCCGCGGUAAUUC
rnacentral:rRNA from 1 species